CCUACGGGUGGCAGCAGUGGGGAAUAUUGCACAAUGGGGGAAACCCUGAUGCAGCGACGCCGCGUGAGUGAAGAAGUAAUUCGUUACGUAAAGCUCUAUCAGCAGGGAAGAAAAUGACGGUACCUGAGUAAGAAGCCCAGGCUAACUACGUGCCAGCAGCCGCGGUAAUACGUAGGGGGCAAGCGUUAUCCGGAUUUACUGGGUGUAAAGGGAGCGUAGACGGUGCGCCAAGUCUGGAGGGAAAUGCCGAAGCUUAACUGCGGAACUGCUUUGGAAACUGGCGAACUAGAGUGUGGUAGCGGUAAGCGGAAUGCCUGGUGUAGCGGUGAAAUGCGUAGAUAUUAGGAGGAACACCGGUGGCGAAGGCGGCUUACUGGGCCGUAACUGACGUUGAGGCACGAAAGCGUGGGGAGCAAACAGGAUUAGAUACCCUUGUAGUC
rnacentral:rRNA from 1 species